rnacentral:rRNA from 1 species
UACGUAGGUGGCUAGCGUUACUCGGAAUCACUGGGCAUAAAGGGCGUGUAGGCGGACGUGUAAGUCCGGUGUGAAAUCCCUCGGCUCAACCGGGGAAGGUCAUUGGAUACUGCAUGUCUUGAGUGCGGGAGAGGAGAAUGGAACUCUUGGUGGAGCGGUGAAAUGCGUAGAUAUCAAGAGGAACGCCGGUGGCGAAAGCGGUUCUCUGGCCCGUAACUGACGCUGAGGCGCGAAAGCUAGGGGAGCAAACGGG